rnacentral:lncRNA from 1 species
UAGCUUCCCCGCCACUCCUCUAAAAUCCCUCCUCAAAAACCCCAAGUUAAAAAAAAAAAGAUCUAUUCUUGUAGAUUUUUUUGUGUGGGUCUAUGUUUCAUUCAUCUGCUUUUAGGCUGGAUUUAUAACAAGCAGAUCUUUUAAAAUGCUUCAGGAAAAAGAGGACCUUAGAACUGAAGGAGCAAGGAUCCAGCAUCACACUGUUUUUGUUAGCUGUGUGUGUGUGUUUCCUGUGUAUCCAAAAGACAGAGGAGAUGAAAAAGCAAAAGAGAAGAAACGAGGAAUCAGAUUGGAAAGAGAAGAUUUCUCCAGGACAUCACCUGUAUGAGGUACACAGUGUGAUGACACAUUCUAUGCUUUUCCUACUUGUCUCCACGUGAGUGUCUGGAGCUGCCCUUCAAGGAAAGCAAUAGAUGAAUGAUUCUGCCUUCCUGCUGAGAGGGAUGUGGGUCCUGCGGAUGGUCGGGGUGAAGCUUCCUCUCCUUUCUGCUGACAGCACUUCCUCAUUAAAUGCAGAGAUCUGCAAAAAGGGAAAAUAAAAACACAAGAAGAAA